rnacentral:rRNA from 1 species
UAACACAUGCAAGUCGAGGGGAAACGACAUCGAAAGCUUGCUUUUGAUGGGCGUCGACCGGCGCACGGGUGAGUAACGCGUAUCCAACCUGCCCACCACUUGGGGAUAACCUUGCGAAAGUAAGACUAAUACCCAAUGACGUCUCUAGAAGACAUCUGAAAGAGAUUAAAGAUUUAUCGGUGAUGGAUGGGGAUGCGUCUGAUUAGCUUGUUGGCGGGGUAACGGCCCACCAAGGCAACGAUCAGUAGGGGUUCUGAGAGGAAGGUCCCCCACAUUGGAACUGAGACACGGUCCAAACUCCUACGGGAGGCAGCAGUGAGGAAUAUUGGUCAAUGGACGAGAGUCUGAACCAGCCAAGUAGCGUGCAGGAUGACGGCCCUAUGGGUUGUAAACUGCUUUUAUAAGGGAAUAAAGUGAGUCUCGUGAGACUUUUUGCAUGUACCUUAUGAAUAAGGACCGGCUAAUUCCGUGCCAGCAGCCGCGGUAAUACGGAAGGUCCGGGCGUUAUCCGGAUUUAUUGGGUUUAAAGGGAGCGUAGGCCGGAGAUUAAGCGUGUUGUGAAAUGUAGACGCUCAACGUCUGCACUGCAGCGCGAACUGGUUUCCUUGAGUACGCACAAAGUGGGCGGAAUUCGUGGUGUAGCGGUGAAAUGCUUAGAUAUCACGAAGAACUCCGAUUGCGAAGGCAGCUCACUGGAGCGCAACUGACGCUGAAGCUCGAAAGUGCGGGUAUCGAACAGGAUUAGAUACCCUGGUAGUCCGCACGGUAAACGAUGGAUGCCCGCUGUUGGUCUGAAUAGGUCAGCGGCCAA